rnacentral:rRNA from 1 species
ACAUGCAAGUCGAGCGGAUGAGAAGAGCUUGCUCUUCGAUUCAGCGGCGGACGGGUGAGUAAUGCCUAGGAAUCUGCCUGGUAGUGGGGGACAACGUUUCGAAAGGAACGCUAAUACCGCAUACGUCCUACGGGAGAAAGCAGGGGACCUUCGGGCCUUGCGCUAUCAGAUGAGCCUAGGUCGGAUUAGCUAGUUGGUGAGGUAAUGGCUCACCAAGGCGACGAUCCGUAACUGGUCUGAGAGGAUGAUCAGUCACACUGGAACUGAGACACGGUCCAGACUCCUACGGGAGGCAGCAGUGGGGAAUAUUGGACAAUGGGCGAAAGCCUGAUCCAGCCAUGCCGCGUGUGUGAAGAAGGUCUUCGGAUUGUAAAGCACUUUAAGUUGGGAGGAAGGGCAGUAAGUUAAUACCUUGCUGUUUUGACGUUACCGACAGAAUAAGCACCGGCUAACUCUGUGCCAGCAGCCGCGGUAAUACAGAGGGUGCAAGCGUUAAUCGGAAUUACUGGGCGUAAAGCGCGCGUAGGUGGUUCGUUAAGUUGGAUGUGAAAGCCCCGGGCUCAACCUGGGAACUGCAUCCAAAACUGGCGAGCUAGAGUAUGGUAGAGGGUGGUGGAAUUUCCUGUGUAGCGGUGAAAUGCGUAGAUAUAGGAAGGAACACCAGUGGCGAAGGCGACCACCUGGACUGAUACUGACACUGAGGUGCGAAAGCGUGGGGAGCAAACAG